UAGCCGUUACCUGCGUCUCCUCUCUUGGCUGGUUCGUCUCUGUGUGUGGAUGUGCAGGCUAGGAUCUUUUCGAUCAGAUGGCCGAAGUUCAGCACAGAGAGGGAUAUUUCUCCUCUCAAGCAAUCUCUGAGCUAGAAGUUGUGUUUGACUACUAUCUCUCGCCUCAACCCUGAAAUAUCUUAGUCCAGAUCUUAUUCGGGUAUUACGGCAGCUAAUGUUCUCGUUACUGCGACGUGGGUGUGAUUUCUUGAUAGGAGAUAUAUUCUCCUCCCAACAUAUUACAACGACUACGACAUAUUGGAAAUCAUUAACGCUCUGUGUGAUGCCCUCACGAAUUGAUUGAGUUAUCCCGGAAAGAGUUGGCCAGCGCUCAAUGGCCACCAUGGGUUACCUCCCCUGCAGCCGUCAUACAAUGGCAUGUGGCCGCACAAGGCACAAUAAAGAAUCUAAAACACGAAAUGCCCUUUACGUUUUCAGAAAUAUCACGUAGGGUAUUACCAGCCGACUGCACAGCCAGAUCCCAAGAGCAUACAUGUAUGCUGGUGGUCUCAUAUUUCCUUAAUUUUCUUUGUACAUGACUGAAACUGGCAAGGACACUUCAAGGCCGGGCUUCGCAUCGACGAUUUUUCUAAUACAGGAAGUGGACUGCACUGUGUCCACCGAUGGGCUUAAGCAAGCCACCACCAACACCACCAACAUCACCAACCCAAGAGGCAAGAUCAAGUCACGUGGGUGUGGCUGCACCAGCAUCAUAUCAAGUUCCCCCCAUUUGCU
rnacentral:sRNA from 2 species